AAGUGGUUCAGAUUAAUAAAAAUACCAUUUGUUCAAGAGUCUUGCAUGAGGAGAUGGAGAGUAGAUAUGAGCCAAGGAUGACUUGCCAAAGCAUAUGGCCUUUCCACUUGUUUAUCUUCUGGCAAGCUGUCCUUGGUUCACGUUUGCUCUCUUUUCUCUCAUGUGAGAUUCAAGGACCAACGCCUACAACUGGAGAGGGGAGAAGAAUUUACUUUAUAAUUGUGAUGCUAAUGCAAAAUUUUGCUUGUGUUUUCUGUCUGCAGCAACUGGAGGAGUUAAAUCAUAACGUGUUUCCGCGAUUUCCCUUUUGUGAGAGCCUUGUGGUUGAUAAAAUCGUAGCAUUCAACACAAAACUAAUUGAAAUUGGUGGAGAAAUUAUAAGCUCAGUAAGGCGCAUGACUUUACAUCUCUCCUGUGGGAUAUGCCCCCCUCAACACACUCAUUGACAUCCCAGCCAUUGAGCAUGACAUUGUUGUUAUGCAGAACCCUCAAUCCUGGACGUAUAAAUUUCAUGCACUCCUGUUGUAAGUUAAUCUUUAUUUUACUUUUGGUAAACAUAAUUUGAUGUUAUUUAUUUAUUUUAUUCAAAUAGUUCUGAUCACAUCUCAGACUUCUGUGCGUUUCCUGAAGUCCCAAUUAUUUCAAGAUUUUUUUUUUUUUUGGUGCUAUGACACCUGCAAAUGUCUAACAUAUUCCUUAUGGAAUGUCUUUGUAGGGUUACGAGUGUGUAGAGAAGGCUAGAGAAAAGAAGUCCAGUAGUCUUUCUCGCUUACAGAUGCAGAGAGUGUGGCUGCAAUGGCAUCUAUUUGGGUCAGGGCAUUCAGACGAUGAUGAUUUGCAGGGAAAUCUAAUUACUUUAUACCUUGCUUCAGCUCCAUAUUGUAUCCCUACCACAAAAUUUUCCUUCAAUUAUUAACUAAAUAUCUUGUCUACAAAUCUACUAACAAUACAUGUAAAAAUUGAGAUUAGAUAAAAAAACACACGCAAAAUUUGCAUGCAUACAUACAUACAUACAUACAUACAUGUAUAUUGUUGCUACUUGGUAAAAUUAUUUGGGAAAAGUAUUUUACCAGAAGAGGCAACAACCAAGAGAACAACCAGGAAAAUUAUUUGAGUGAUUUCUC
rnacentral:lncRNA from 1 species